GUGGGACUUCAGCACGUACACUAAAAUUGUAAAAACGAUACGGAGAAGAUUAGCAUGGCCCCUGCGCUAGGAUGACACGCAAAAUUGCAAUACGGCCGCCAUGUUG
ensembl:snRNA U6 U6 spliceosomal RNA